AAAGAAGCCGAAGGAUGCCUUUGGGAGCUCAAGAAGGAAACCCAUGGCUCUGUGCACACUUCUGCAUCAUCAUCAUCAUCAUCAUCAUGGGUGAUUCCCCUUCCUGCCUUUCCUAAGCAUAAAAUCCUCUGAGCUUUCCUUGCAGAUAGUUGCUGAUAUUCUUGGGAAGGGACCCCCACACCCACACACACACUGCCAUGAAAAGAGAGGAGGCGGAUGGACGGACAGACGGGCCUUGGGUGAGCUUCAUUGAUUUAAUGCCUCCUUAAAGGCAGCCGGAGGAGAGGUAGAGCCUGGCUUUACAUCAGGCGAGCCUCCGGGUCGCUCCGGCUGCUUUUGAUCAACCCUGUGUGAAAGAUGAGUGUCAUGCCCUCUUCCAGCUCACUGCGAGGGUCUGUCCUGUGAGCGGAGGGGCAUGCCGACGACACUCCCCUCUGGAGCCCAGAGGUAAGAGCAUCCUGGAGAGGUGAGAGAGAGAGACAGAGAGAGAGAGGGAGAGAGAGUUACUCAACUUGGACUCUCUGGAGAACCACACAUCAGGAGGUGGGGAGAAAUCUUCCCUCCCUCCCUGGUGCUCCGAGGUGAGUGUACACCCAGCAUGCAGAGGUGCCUGUGCUGCUCCAGAGGAGGGUAAAACAGACCCAGGCGUGUGUGUCUGUCUGUCUGUGUAUGUGUGUGUGUGUGAUGAUUCUGCCUUUCGUUACUUGUACAGGCAGGCAUGUUUCCUGGUUCUUCUUUGUACAACUCCCCAGCCCAGCAGAGGGGAUGGGAAACUCUCCUCCGGCUCUCCUAAGGCAGGCUGCAGCCUAAGAAGAAAUGUCGGAGGCUAUCCGAUGCACUCUGGUGAACUGCAGCUGCCAACAAUUCAAACCGGGGAAAAUAAACCAGCGACAGUGUGACCAGUGUCGGCACGGAUGGGUGGCCCAUGGUAAUAUCCCACCGUGUGGAGGAAUCCCUUUCCAACUGGAAGCUUAUUGGACAACAGAUCAAUAUGGAAAUCUUGUUCUCAAUUUAUUAACAGAGAUAUUACAAAAAACUCAGGCGUUGUCUAUAGACUGAGGAACAGACAUGAUGCCAGCUUUGCAAUUAGGAGCAGAACUCUCUCAAGUGUAAAAAGACAUCUGUUUUUUUCUUACUUUGAGAUUUUUGCAGCUCCCCAAGUUGCCAGUGUAGUUCCUGAGAACUUUGAAAAGAUGUGUCUUUGGAGGGAUGGUGUUGUGCCACCUUCUGAUUGCAAUGCUGGUGCUCAUCUAUUUCUUCCCCCUGCAACCCAGGUUGAAUUCCUUUGGGACCAUAUUUUGUUUGGUUCGAAAUCCGCAGCAAGCGCAGCCUUCCAUCCUUCCAGGCUCUAUGUCCUGUGAUCCAAUGCAACCUUAGAGGACCAGAAAAUAAUAACUCAACUGUGAAUCUGGUCUAGGCUUUAGCUCUCCAAGGUUCUGACUCCGUUUCAGGGGUGGGUUUCAGCACCGUAGAAAACG
rnacentral:lncRNA from 1 species